rnacentral:ncRNA from 1 species
AGAAAUGCAGUGAUAAGGAGGAGUACAUAAUUUCCGGAUGCCAAGAGAGAAGGCGGCAGGUGGGAGCCUUCGUGAAGGAAUUAUGGAAGUAGCCUUUGAGCAGUGGACCGAACAGGUGAGGACCCCAGUAAGCUCCAACGUGAUUCCUACGUUACAGGGAAGCAGUAUCGGACAACAGUUCCCGUACUGGCAGAGUGCAGAGAAGAUUCUCUGAAUUUAGGUGGUAACACGGAUUGGAUAUUCGCCCUAAGC